rnacentral:rRNA from 1 species
CAUCCCUACGGGGGGCAGCAGUGAGGAAUAUUGGUCAAUGGGCUUACGCCUGGACCAGCCAAGUCGCGUGAGGGAAGACUGCCCUAUGGGUUGCAAACCUCUUUUGUCAGGGAGCAAUUGGCGCUACGUGUAGCGUUAUCGAGAGUACCUGAAGAAAAAGCAUCGGCUAACUCCGUGCCAGCAGCCGCGGUAAUACGGAGGAUGCGAGCGUUAUCCGGAUUUAUUGGGUUUAAAGGGUGCGUAGGCGGAAUGCCAAGUCAGCGGUAAAAUCGUGGGGCCCAACCCCAUCCCGCCGUUGAAACUGG